rnacentral:rRNA from 1 species
UACGAAGGGGGCUAGCGUUGCUCGGAAUCACUGGGCGUAAAGGGCGCGUAGGCGGCGUUUUAAGUCGGGGUGAAAGCCUGUGGCUCAACCACAGAAUGGCCUUCGAUACUGGGACGCUUGAGUAUGGUAGAGGUUGGUGGAACUGCGAGUGUAGAGGUGAAAUUCGUAGAUAUUCGCAAGAACACCGGUGGCGAAGGCGGCGAGCUGGUCCAUUACUGACGCUGAGGC